UAUAUGUCUGCAAGGAUCAAGUUUCUCUAUGCGUAAGGUCUACUUCUGGGCUUUCUGUUUUGUUCAUCAGGUCUAUCCAUUGGACCAUAACCACACUUAAAGGGCCAUCAUCUGAAUCACGUUCCUGUAUUCGGGAUUUGAGCCUCCAAAACAGUUUUGAUGGGAGACACCAGCCACCUACUAUUAUGCAGCCAUGCACCACAUAACGACGUUUCAGGCAACAAUGACUGCACAUACCACAGUGGUCCCGUAAAAUUACAAUGGAGCUGAAAAAUUCCUAUUUUCUAGUGACAUCACAGCCAUUGCAAGGUCAGAGUGCAACACAUCACUCAUGUGUUUGUGUUGAUGCUGCUGUAAACAAACCUACCGCACUACCAGUCAUAUAAAAGUAUAGCCCAUACAAUUAUAUGUAGUACUUAAUACUUAAUAAUAAUAAACAACUAUGUUGCUGGUUUA